rnacentral:rRNA from 1 species
UACGGGGGGGGCAAGCGUUGUUCGGAAUUACUGGGCGUAAAGGGCUCGUAGGCGGCCAACUAAGUCCGACGUGAAAUCCCCAGGCUUAACCUGGGAACUGCGUCGGAUACUGGAUGGCUUGAAUUCGGGAGAGGGAUGCAGAAUUCCAGGUGUAGCGGUGAAAUGCGUAGAUAUCUGGAGGAACACCGGUGGCGAAGGCGGCAUCCUGGACCAACACUGACACUGAGGAGCGAAAGCCAGGGGAGCAAACGGG